CGCAGGGGGGGUAGAUUGCCAGAGCCUCCUGGAAGCUCUGCUCAAUGUCCGGGCUCCACACUCCCUCGGCGUCAUUGUCCAGGCUCUUGUCCAUCCCGUCCUGGCCAUCUUCCCGCCCCUCCCCGGGGCUGCUGCUGGCGUUCCAGCUGUUGGACGCUAUGGUGCUGGCUGCUCUGGGCUCUGAGCCCGAGCCCCCACGGACACGAGACAACCUGCUCCGUGCUCCGGAGGGCUGGGCCGGCCACGGGAGCCGGGAGUGGGCCGGGACCGAACCGGGACCGGAGCCGGUGCCGGGGAUGGGCCGGGGGAGGGCGGUAGGAAUGCGAGAGUGCUGCAAGCUCCGGAGUCCGCGUAGGGAACC
rnacentral:lncRNA from 1 species